ensembl:snoRNA SNORA74 Small nucleolar RNA SNORA74
CCCAGCUGUAGGCAACUGUCUAGGUUACAAUGAACUUAGGUAAGUGCCACACUGCUGGGAGAAGAGCAGCCAGUGGCUGGCGGGCAUCCUAGGCCUGGUUAAUGCCAAACUUGUAUUACUAUACCAGUGUGCCAGCAUAGU